GUUUGACCUCGGAUCAGGUAGGGAUACCCGCUGAACUUAAGCAUAUCAAUAAGGCGGAGGA
rnacentral:rRNA from 1 species